UUCUGAGCAGAGGGACAUGGAGAGAGGAGCAUGAAGACGAUAGGAACUGAGGACAAGUAGCCUUGAGUCAUGUUCUUUCCGAGCGUUCCCAUUAGUCCUCAUGGGCAUGCUUAUGGGCUAAUACAGCCCUCAAAAUCACCUUCUGGCAUUGAAAAUUCUGCCUUGGGGCUUCUAAAGCACUGGUGUGACCAGAGAGUGUACCUCCAAACUCAGGGAUUUUUGCCAGUUUUGAUAAAUAAAGAAGUUCCAGUUUGAUUUGAUGAAAUUGGUUCUUGGAUCCAAGUUGGAAUGCAAGUUGGGAGCCAGUUGUGGAAUUUUCCAUCAUAACAUUUCCUGUGGAUACAAAGUGAACUGAAACCCAACCCAGGAAACAAGCAUAAAAUGUGCCAACGAGUUUAGAUUCACUAAAUUUUAUCUGCCACUCCUGAGGAAGGUCUAUUUAUCUGUCAUGUUGUUAUUUGGACAAUCAAAGUUAUUGCAGUAAAUUUUGAGACCUCUGUGAUGCAACAUAACUGGGGACUGAGAGAUACUUCACAAUGUGAGAAGCACAUGGACUAGAUGACAAAUGCUUUGGAGAAAAAUUCUCAUGAAUCCAGAUCAUGCCAAUUUCCAGUGGACCUGUGUCUUCAAAACCCAAAUCAUUCUACUUGCUAGUAAUCAACUAGAAAGACCUUGUGGUUUUCUUGUUGAGUUUGCUCUUCCUGCAAUGCCUGCUCAAUACUACUCCCAGUGAAAUUUAAAAUAUAUAUAUAUUUUCAUCUAUGAGAAGUUAUCAAAUGUCUUCCCCCACAUGCUGAUAGUUCUUGCCUGAAUCCUUGUAUGGCAAUGUACACUCUGUCAUGUGACCUUUGUGCCCACUGACACGAUAAUCAUUAAAAACAAUUGGAUUGUACUCCCUGCGAAGUUUGAGGCUGGGGACAGAAGCUUGUCAAGUAUAAAAACAUCUGUGAAUACGAUAACAUCUAUAGCUUAAAAAUACUCAUUCCUCAACGAACUUGAAGUAAAUGACUAAAGUAAGUGAAACUGAGUCUAUUUGACAAGUCUUCUGAUAUGAUUAAAAUAUUGUGUGAAGAAAGGACUUGAUGGAAAAAUGUGAUGUCAAAGCCUGUUUUUCAAAGUUUAAGUUUCAUUCAACGCCAAAUGAGCAUGUGAAAAUCCCCUGGAGAAUACCCACUCUGAGGUCCAUUCUAACCUGAAACUGUUUUUUAAUUGGUACUUCUACCAAAUCUAAGUUUAACAAUAGGGCAUGCAUUGACUUUUCAGUAUGAUGCCCAGUCCAUUUUAUUCUGUGGUAUAAAUAGUUUACCAUACUCUAGGAAAUAUAUUUUGAAUUUAACAAAGCUUUAUGGAGUGUCCAGUUCAUUCUGGCUACAACAGGACAAAAUCCAACUGGGGAUAUUGCUCCUGGCAGGUUCUCUGCUGUCUUGCCUGAUCUUGCUUUGUGAACCUUCCCCUAUAGGUCCUUAUAUUAAUGGGCCUCACUUUCCUUUAGAGAUAGGAGUUUACACUAACAGUUAAUUAAUGUAACAGUGUUAAGUGUUUCUAUGUGCAAAGCAUUAAGCUAGGUGUUGUCAUUUUUCCUCUCCUUACUCUUUCACAAAAAUAAUAAGAGCAAUUUGGAGGAUGUUAUCAGUUCAGCCUGCUAUAACUAUACCUUAGACUGGGUAAUUUAUAAACAACAGUUAUUUGUUGCUGAACUUUCUAC
rnacentral:lncRNA from 1 species